CCUACGGGUGGCAGCAGUGGGGAAUCUUCGACAAUGGGGGAAACCCUGAUCCAGCGACGCCGCGUGAGUGAAGAAGUAUUUCGGUACGUAAAGCUCUAUCAGCAGGAAAGAAAAUGACGGUAACUGACUAACAAGCCUCUGCUAACUACGUGCCAGCAGCUGCGGUAAUACGUAGGGGGCAAGCGUUCUCUGGAUUUACUGGGUGGAAAGUGAGCGUAGACGGCGGAGCAAGCCUGGAGUGAAAUGCCGCGGCUCAACCUCGGAACUGCUCUAGAAACUGUGAAGCUGGAGUGCAGAAGAGGAGAGCGGAAUUCCAGGGGGAGCGGUGAAAUGCGUAGAUAUAAGGAGGAACACCAGCGGCGAAGGCGGCUUACUGGACUGUAACUGACGUUGAGGCUCGAAGGCGUGGGGAGCGAACAGGAUUAGAUACCCGGGUAGUC
rnacentral:rRNA from 1 species